CACUCCUGCAGCUUAUUCCACUUAGCAAUGCUACAAGACAAAAACAACAUCAGACAGUAAGCCACUCCAUGAACAGACAAUGAAUGACCAAACCAUAGCUCACCUGGUACUUCUGCGCAUAGGAAUGGGAAGGAGGUUCCCCACAUCAAGACUGUUGUGAAGAAAGAAGGACUGACAUACAGCCUUGGCAGCUUUCUGUGUCCACGCCCCUGAGAUGCACCAGCACCUUUGUUUGUGUCUGUAUUCAAGCCAUCACUUAAAGAGGUCUCAGGAAGAAGACAAUGAACUGCUACUGUUAUUUUGUCAUCUCAUUUCUGCUGGCAAUGACUCUGAUAGGUACCAAAGUAAGAAGAACAUUGCUCUUCAUGCAUAAUAAGCCAGCCUUAGCCAUUGUGUAUCUUAAAAUACAUCAUAGACUACCUCC